rnacentral:rRNA from 1 species
AACGAACGCUGGCGGCAUGCCUAACACAUGCAAGUCGAACGAGACCUUCGGGUCUAGUGGCGCACGGGUGCGUAACGCGUGGGAACCUGCCCUUAGGUUCGGAAUAACUCCCCGAAAGGGGUGCUAAUACCGGAUAAUGUCUUCGGACCAAAGAUUUAUCGCCUUUGGAUGGGCCCGCGUUGGAUUAGCUAGUUGGUAGGGUAAAAGCCUACCAAGGCGACGAUCCAUAGCUGGUCUGAGAGGAUGAUCAGCCACACUGGGACUGAGACACGGCCCAGACUCCUACGGGAGGCAGCAGUGGGGAAUAUUGGACAAUGGGCGAAAGGAUGAUCCAGCAAUGCCGCGUGAGUGAUGAAGGCCGUAGGGUUGUAAAGCUCUUUUACCCGGGAUGAUAAUGACAGUACCGGGAGAAUAAGCUCCGGCUAACUCCGUG